UAGUGGACCGAUGUUCGUGCACCAUUUUCCAUUGGAAAACGUUCGCAUCCGGCGCGCCGGCUGAAACUUCGGCCGGUCGCGCGCGGGUCGUUCGAUGCUCGUUGAAUCGAGGCCUUUUCGUUGUGCCACGUCGCCACCCCGUCCUUUUUCUAUUUUUCUUCUCUGCUCCACCGCACACUCCCUCGUUCCUUAUCCAUUCGCUGGGUGAUUCAUCCCCUUUUCCUCCAUUCUAUUCACGCCUGAUUAGCUCGCGCCGGCGAUGGCCGCCACCAACUCCGCGCGCUAUCCCGCAUGUACUGCCGCUCAUCCUCUCUUUUGUCUUGGUUCCUCUUCACCGGUGAGCCGUAUCACGGCGCGGCGCUGCGGACAUGGUCGGCGGCGCUGUUCAGGUAGGAGACAGUCACAUAUGCUACAACCAGGGGUGUUGGUUUUUUGCUUGGAUUGCCCCGUUGUGCUGCAUGCAUCAACGGCGGCCAGCAGCUACCCAUGCUGCAACCAGCAGGUCCUAGCGACGAAGAUGACGACCUCCUGGUGCUUCAAUCGCUCUCUGUUUUGCUGGAAACGGCAUCGCUGGGUGCUGGGACGGGCUCUCUGUUUUGCUACAAUCAAUCACUAGGAGUUCUUCCUCAUGAGUCGUUUUGCUGGAACCGGUGUUCAAUUUUGCUGGAACCGGGUAAUUUUCUGCUACAAUCGAUCAAUGGAGUUCUUGCUGAUGAGUUGUUAUUUGCUGGAACCAGUGUUCAAUUUUGUUGGAACCAGGUAAAUAUUUGCUUCAACCGACAAAUGGAGGAUUUGUUGCUUUUGGAGUUUUGUGCUCGGCAUGACUGUCCAAGUUGAUGACCGCGGCGACACCGGCGGUGCUCCAACCAUGGUGUAUGUGUGCUGGAACCGGCCGCGCUAGAGCUGCAAUGGUCUGGUUUUGUCAGCUACGGACAUGACGUGCAGCGACGACGAGGUUAUAGCAGAAGGGUGGCACGGGGGCUACGACGGUAGUGUUGCAACGAGCAGCGCCGCAAGGGGACGGGUGCUGCCGCCCCUCGCCAGAGCGCACGCGCGCGGGGGGCAAGGGCAGAGAUGCUCGCGUGGAACAGGAAGGAGGGGAUUUUUGUUUGCGUUGACCAACGCAAGAGAAGGAGGCGCUUCGGCGACAGGCUACAAAUCACCAGACCGGAGGGAGAAGAACGAGUUGGGGUUAAGUGCCAGAUCGGACGGUCCCGACUCGCUGCAUCCGGCGGCUGACGUUCGACCGGCCCAACAGUUGGGCCGGCGCGCCGGCGCAGAUAACCGCCCUUUUCCAUUUGUCUUCAUUCCACAGCGAUCUCUGUUUGUCUCUUCACUCCCCCAUGCCUUAUUUUCUUCUUAAUUACCCAACCACAAUGUACUCUCUUAUGUUUUUUCUAACUAUCACCACGUUGCUUGCACUGUUGCA